AGCGCCUUCCUCCCUUCCCGCCGCUCUGCAGCAGCUCUCCUUCCCCUUUCCUCCUUUCCGCCGACGUUAGCCGAAGGUAGGGAGUUGUCUUCGCCGUUCGGCCUCUUGCCGGCUUGUUUUCGGCGAUCUGGCGCCGGAAUCGGACUCCCCACCCCCGAAAACCCUUGAAGCAACCCUCCUCCGUCGGAAAUCCUUGCCGGCAGCCUUGAAAGGUGUCGCGUGAGCAGCGACUUUCCGGCCCCGAUCCGCCGCCUUCCGGCCACUUUCCGGCCAAAACUCUUGUCCUUCCGGACUCUCCGCAACUUGAGCUUCGCGUAGGCGCUUCCGGAUUUGAAUUCCGACACUGUUGGCGGGACCGGCUUCCGGACCCCAGUGUUUUCU
rnacentral:lncRNA from 1 species